CAAGCUGCUGGUGCAUGGAGAAGGCGCCGCUUUCGUUGGCGCCGGAGGCGGGAGGCAGUUGUUUUUGCCCGACCUGCC
rnacentral:tRNA from 1 species